rnacentral:rRNA from 1 species
UACGUAGGGGGCAAGCGUUGUCCGGAUUUAUUGGGCGUAAAGAGCGCGUAGGCGGCUUGACAGGUCUGCUGUGAAAACUCGAGGCUCAACCUCGAGAUGUCGGCGGAAACCGUCUGGCUAGAGUCCGGAAGAGGAGAGUGGAAUUCCUGGUGUAGCGGUGGAAUGCGCAGAUAUCAGGAGGAACACCAAUAGCGAAGGCAGCUCGCUGGGACGUUACUGACACUGAGGCGCGAAAGCGUGGGGAGCGAACAGG